rnacentral:rRNA from 1 species
GAUGAACGCUGGCGGCGUGCCUAAUACAUGCAAGUCGAGCGAACAGACGAGGAGCUUGCUCCUCUGACGUUAGCGGCGGACGGGUGAGUAACACGUGGAUAACCUACCUAUAAGACUGGGAUAACUUCGGGAAACCGGAGCUAAUACCGGAUAAUAUAUUGAACCGCAUGGUUCAAUAGUGAAAGACGGUUUUGCUGUCACUUAUAGAUGGAUCCGCGCCGCAUUAGCUAGUUGGUAAGGUAACGGCUUACCAAGGCAACGAUGCGUAGCCGACCUGAGAGGGUGAUCGGCCACACUGGAACUGAGACACGGUCCAGACUCCUACGGGAGGCAGCAGUAGGGAAUCUUCCGCAAUGGGCGAAAGCCUGACGGAGCAACGCCGCGUGAGUGAUGAAGGUCUUCGGAUCGUAAAACUCUGUUAUUAGGGAAGAACAAAUGUGUAAGUAACUAUCCACGUCUUGACGGUACCUAAGCAGAAAGCCACGGCUAACUACGU